GAUGAACGCUGGCGGCGUGCCUAAUACAUGCAAGUCGAGCGAACGGACGAGAAGCUUGCUUCUCUGAUGUUAGCGGCGGACGGGUGAGUAACACGUGGAUAACCUACCUAUAAGACUGGGAUAACUUCGGGAAACCGGAGCUAAUACCGGAUGAUAUUUUGAACCGCAUGGUUCAAAAGUGAAAGACGGUCUUGCUGUCACUUAUAGAUGGAUCCGCGCUGCAUUAGCUAGUUGGUAAGGUAACGGCUUACCAAGGCAACGAUGCAUAGCCGACCUGAGAGGGGGAUCGGCCACACUGGAACUGAGACACGGUCCAGACGCCUACGGGAGGCAGCAGUAGGGAAUCUUCCGCAAUGGGCGGAAGCCUGACGGAGCAACGCCGCGUGAGUGAUGAAGGUCUUCGGAUCGUAAAACUCUGUUAUUAGGGAAGAACAUAUGUGUAAGUAACUGUGCACAUCUUGACGGUACCUAAUCAGAAAGCCACGGCUAACUACGUG
rnacentral:rRNA from 1 species